rnacentral:tRNA from 1 species
GAGGGUAUAGCUCAAAGUGCUUGAGUGCAUGCUUAGCACGCAUGAGGUCCUGGGUUCAAUCCCCAGUACCUCCU